GCGCCCGUAGCUCAGGUGGACAGAGCAACGGCCUUCUAAGCCGUGGGUCGGAGGUUCGAAUCCUCCCGGGCGCA
rnacentral:tRNA from 2 species